rnacentral:lncRNA from 1 species
ACAAUAUUUUAUCUCACAGAUAGAAGAAAAAAUAAAUUUCUUCGAAACUUUAUAAAUUACUUACACGAACAUUUGUCCAACAUGGAGAAUUAUCAAAAGAAUUAUGCAGUAUAAAAACAUCAAAAAAUGCUUUUUCGAAGAUGACUGAAGAUCAUCUAAUUUUAAUUUUUUUUUCUUUGCUCUUCACUUCAAUCUCAUUUUCUUCUCCAAAGUCCAGGUCCGAAAGGGUAAAAUUCUACAAUAAGAAUUUUUGUUACUCAAAAAUUUCAGUCAGUAUGUAAAUGACAUUUGAAGCAAUUCUCUUCACAAAGCAGUGAGAUGGAGGGUAUUUUCAUAUGUACCCGUGCAAACCAAACAAGUUAAAAUUGAUAGGAGAUAGAGAGAAUCGUAGUGUUAAUUUAGCAAACGGCCGGAGAAGGUGAAGCGAGAGGCGGUGAAACCAUAGCUUGAAGUGCAACUGAAAUAGAGGAAAAACCUUUUGUUGAAGCACGAUAAGAGAAUGUGAACUAUUCAAUGGCAAUGGAAUUGCUACCGGGGUGGUGGCGACACCUUCAAUUGAAGUGCAGCCGGAGAUGAUGAGACGACGACAGAGUGCCAACCGUGUGGAUUUUGAUUUAGGGAGAAAUAGAUUUUUUGGAUAUAGAUUUCUG